rnacentral:rRNA from 1 species
UUUUUUAGAAAUGAAUUUAAUUCAUACAUCUAAUUUAAUUUCUGUUGUUGUUAUAUUUAUUUUUAUUUGAUGUUAAGAUUAAGGGGGAUUAGCUCCUUGUUUUAUUUUUAUAAUUUUUAAUUUAAUUUAGUUUUGUGGAUUUUAUAGUGAUUUUCAAUUUGAUUAUGUUAAAAUUUUAUUUUUUCUUUUGUUUAAUUUUUGUUAAUUUAAAUUUUUAUUGAAAUGUUUUCUUUAUCUUUUUUUGUUUGGUAAUUAUUGUGUAAUUAGUAAAUUUUGUUUUAUUAUGGUAUUUAUACUUAUUGGUGUUAAUUUCUUUUUAGGAAUUAGGCAAAAAGCAUGUCCGCCUGUUUAACAAAAACAUCUUUUCUUGUUAGUUUUUGAAGUAUGGCCUGCCCACUGACUUAGGUUAAAGGGCCGCGGUAUUUUGACCGUGCAAAGGUAGCAUAAUCAUUAGUUCUUUAAUUGUGAUCUGGUAUGAAUGGCUUGACGAGACAUGGGCUGUCUUAGGUAGAAUUGAUUUAUUGAAUUUAGUUUUUGAGUUAAAAUUCUUAGAUGUUUUUAUGGGACGAGAAGACCCUAUAGAGUUUGACAUUUUGUUUAUUAUUUUGGUUAGAGGUUUGUUGUGAUUGUCUUAGUAGGCUAGAAUGUUUUGUUGGGGUGAUGGGAGGAAUUUUUUUAACUCCUCUUUGUUUUGUUAUAUUCAUUUAUAUAUGUAUGAUCC